rnacentral:rRNA from 1 species
GACGAACGCUGGCGGCGUGCCUAAUACAUGCAAGUCGAGCGGACUUGAUGGAGAGCUUGCUCUCCUGAGAGUUAGCGGCGGACGGGUGAGUAACACGUAGGCAACCUGCCCUCAGGACUGGGAUAACUACCGGAAACGGUAGCUAAUACCAGAUAAUUCACUUCUUCGCAUGGAGAAGUGAGGAAAGACGGAGUAAUCUGUCACCGGAGGAUGGGCCUGCGGCGCAUUAGCUAGUUGGAGAGGUAACGGCUCCCCAAGGCGACGAUGCGUAGCCGACCUGAGAGGGUGAUCGGCCACACUGGGACUGAGACACGGCCCAGACUCCUACGGGAGGCAGCAGUAGGGAAUCUUCCGCAAUGGGCGAAAGCCUGACGGAGCAACGCCGCGUGAGUGAUGAAGGUUUUCGGAUCGUAAAGCUCUGUUGCCAAGGAAGAACGUCCUUAAGAGUAACUGCUUAAGGAGUGACGGUACUUGAGAAGAAAGCCCCGGCUAACUACGUGCCAGCAGCCGCAGUAAGAC